AUUGAACGCUGGCGGCAGGCCUAACACAUGCAAGUCGAGCGAGCGGCGGACGGGUGAGUAAUGUCUGGGAAACUGCCUGAUGGAGGGGGGUAACUACUGGAAACGGUAGCUAAUACCCCAUACCAUCAGAUGUGCCCAGAUGGGAUUAGCUAGUAGGUGGGGUAACGGCCCACCUAGGCGACGAUCCCUAGCUGGUCUAAGAGGAUGUCCAGCGACAUGGGAGGUGAGAAACGGUCCAGACUACAUAGGGAGGCAGCAGAGGGGAAGAUGGCAAAGUGGGGGCGAGCCUUAUGCAUCCAUCGCGCGUGUGUUGAAGAGGCCUUGGGGUUGUAAAGCAGUUUAAGCGGGGAGAAGUUACCGGCAGAAGAAGCACCGGCUAACUCCGUGCCAGCCGCCGCGGUAAGAC
rnacentral:rRNA from 1 species